UAUAAGGACCUCAAAUUCUUUUGGAGCACAGACUUGGGAACCCUGUUCUGGGACCUGAUCCCUGGUUCAAUCAGAAAUAGCACAUUAUUGCAAGAAAGACUGUUCUCAUGGUGUUUGCAUCCUGCUGGAAUCACUGGACAUCUGAGAAGGAGGAAGCCUUUUCUUACAUGACUCCAGCAGAUGCAAAAGGUUUGGAGGUAACUUAGAUAAGGGUAUGAGAAAAAAGCUGCACCAUAAAAAACACAACUGGGAGGUUACUGAUUAAAAGUGAAGAAUACAAGACAGGAACAACUGUUAGGCUAGGCAGUUGUUGAAGAUAAUUCAAGCAUCUGAAGCAAGCUGAAUUGAACAGCAAGUAAACAAAUGAGAAGAACACCCCAUCCUUCCUCUUAUUUGAACGCUGUGCAGUUAAUGGAGAAUGUGAUCAACCAGUCCUUCCCUUGAUGCCAGGGCAAACUCUUGUUAAUUCACGUUGCCAGUCUUCUACAGAGCAACAGCACUACUUGCCCUUCCACUUGCCUUUUGUUUGGAUAGCUAGUGGCACUGCUCAGGGAGAAAGUAAGACGCAAUGGAUCUAAAUCUCACACCUGGGUGGUAUGAAUGGGUGUUCUGCAUACACUGUCCUGGGAGGACAGGGUAUCACUGACAUUUUGGUUGCUGCAGUAACUCCACUAUGAACAAAAAAUCUCUUCCCAGUCAGUACACAGAGAAGAAUAUGAAGAAGGUGCUUUGCAGUCCCUGCUAUAUUGUGCUGUUUGUUGUAAAAACAGGAUAAGUAACAGCCAGAAAAAGAUGGAGUUGAGGGUUUCUCCACCCCCAAGUCUAUUUAUCCCUCUUGUCCUCUGAGCAUCACCUUUCAGAUAGCCAGCUAACAGCAUCUGUGAGCUGGAGUUCUUUGUACCUUUUCCCUAGACCAGAAUUAUCCACCUUUUCAAAACACAAUUUGUGAGAUCUUCGGUUAGUGUAAAUCAGCACAGAUGAAUUGAUUUCAGUGCUCUGCAUAAGUCUGGUGACUUGCAUUGACUUCAGUAGAGCUAGCCAAUUUACACCAGCUGAGAAUCUGCUCCCAUAACACGAACUCUUUUAAACCUGUACGUGUAACCUCAGUUCUUUAUUCAGUUCUUCCUAAGGCACAACUCCAGUUGAAGUCCAUCAUUUUUGCCCAAGCAAGGGCUGUUGUACACCAGAAAAUUAAAUUGACCCUAGCUAUGUUGCUCAGGUUGUGAAAAUCCACAGCCCUGAGCUGAGCUAAAUUCUCCAGUAGUCAGUGCUAGGUUGAUUGGAAGAAUUCCUCAGUCGACCUAGCUCCUGCCUCUCCAGGAGGUGGACUACCUUUGCAGACAGGAGAACCCCUUCCACUGGCAUACAUAGUGUCUAUGCUGAAGUGCUACAGCAGUGUGGCAGCAGCAGUGCAGUUGUGUUGCUGUAGCAUUUCAAGUGUAGACAAGCCUUAAGUAAGAAGUAAAGAAGUGAGUAAGGACUUCAGGUUUGGGAGCCUUUUUUAUUGUUAUUCUUUAAUUAUAUAUCUUGUGAGUCGUUCACUUCUUGGAUGUUUAUCCAUAUGAAAAGUUUUGCCUGACUCUGCAUGCUCAAACAAAACCAAAACUAUUGCCACAAGAGCUGUGAACUCAGAGAUACAACUGAGGAAUCUCUGAGCCAUUGAGAAGCCUCUCUGAAUCUCUCUCUAUGUCAAAUUCAUACCCAUGGUAAUACAUCUGAGUGAGACAUCUGCACAAUUGGCUAGCUAGAGACAGUUAGGUACCAAAAUAUCUACCCUGUCUUCUGGCAGGCAUAUUACAUCACUAUCCAAAGUAUUGCACAUUUCUGAACUAGUCUGGCCUAUCUUUUUUUUUAAAGCCUAUUGCUGUAAAAUAUGCUUCAACACACACAC